UACAGAGGGUGCAAGCGUUAAUCGGAUUUACUGGGCGUAAAGCGUGUGUAGGUGGUUUUGUAAGUCGGAUGUGAAAGCCCUGGGCUCAACCUGGGAACUGCACUCGAUACUGCGAGGCUAGAGUACGGUAGAGGGCGGUGGAAUUUCCGGUGUAGCGGUGAAAUGCGUAGAUAUCGGAAGGAACACCAAUGGCGAAGGCAGCCGCCUGGGCCUGUACUGACGCUGAGACGCGAAAGCGUGGGGAUCAAACAGG
rnacentral:misc_RNA from 1 species